rnacentral:pre_miRNA from 1 species
UUUGUACUCCCUCCGUCCGAAAAUACUUAUCAUCAAAAUGGAUGAGAGGAGAUGUAUCUAGACGUAUUUUAGUUCUAGAUACAUCUCUUUUUAUCCAUUUUGAUGACAAGUAUUUUCGGACGGAGGGAGUAAUAA